UGCCCUUCUUACUCUUUUUGUAAGGCCCAAGUCCUCGCCGAACCAUAGUACCACGCCACCAAGCUUGAAUGACAGUCGCCAUGCAGUAGAGGUGGGCCUCGUGUGCAGCUUUAGCUGCCUCUUUUUCUUUGUGUGCCAGAAUAAAUUCAACUGCCAACCAGACAUGCAACAUGGUUUUGAGGAUAGACUUUUCCAUUUUGUUUUAAAAUCGGAAAGACUGAAUCUUUCUUGUAUUCAGUGAUUUGUUUUGAAGAAGACACUCGGCACCUGACUUUUGAAGAAAAUCCGUGUUUUUGCAGUGUACUGAUUGACUAAUUAUUAUUACCUAAAUUUAUAUGAAGCAUAUUUGUAAUUAGUUUACCUCAGUUUCAAAUUAAUACUUGUGGACUUCAAGAAAGCCUAUGAAUUAGUUAAAAGAGAAGCUGUUUACAAUAUUAUGCUUGAAAAUGGUGUACCUAAGAAGCUAGUCAGACUGAUUAAAAUGUGUUUAAGUGAAACCUAUAGCAAAAUUUGUGUAGGUAAACAUUUGUCUGAUACAUUUCUUGAUCAGAAUGGCCUAAAACAGGGAGAUGCUCUAUUGCUGCUGCUUUUCAAAUUUUCCUAAAAUAUGCCAUCAGGAAAGUCCAAAAAAAGUCAUGGCAGUUUGGAAUUGAAUGGAACACAUAAGCUUUUGUUCUAUGCUGAUGGUAUUAAUCUGUUGGGCAAUAAUAUAAAUACUAUAAAACAAACACAGAAACAUUCUUAAAUGCUAGUAGGAAUGUUGGUCUAGAAAGAAAUGCAGAAAAGACAAAGUAUAUGAUCAUGUCUCAGUACCAGGAUUCAGGAUAGAACCAGAAUAUAAAGAUAGUUAAUGAAUUGUUCAAAAAUGUUAUGAAAUCAAGAUAAUAUUACAUUUGGGUAAUGCUUGCUAUCAUUCAGUCCAAAAUCUUUUGUACUCCCAUCUCAUAUAAAAUAAACUAAAGAUUAAAAUAUACAAAAGUAUAGUUUUGCCAAUUGUGCUGUAUGGGUGAGAAACUUGGUGUCUCACAUUGAGGGAGGAACAUAGAUUGAGGGUUUUUAAGAACAGUGUUGAGGAAGACAUUUUGACCUAAAAGGGAGGGAGAUGGAUCAUGGAGAGAAUUGUAAAAUAUGAGUUACACAGCCUGUAAUCCUCACCUGAUAUCGUUAGGGCGAUUAAAUCGAGGAGGAUGAGGUGGCUGGGACAUGUGGCAUGAUGGGGGAGGGGAGGGGUGUUUACAAAGUAUUCAUUGGGAGACAUGAAGGGAGGAGACCGCUGGGAAGACCUAGGCGUAGUUGGGAGGAUGGCGUUAAGGUUGACCUUAGGCAGACUAGAAAUGAUGGAGCGAACUGAAUGCAGCUUGCUCAGGAUAGAGUCUGGUGGUGGGCUUUUGUGAACACGGUGAUGAACUUUUGGGUUCCAUAAAAAAGUGGGCUAUUGUUUGACAAGCCCAGUAUACAGUUGACUUUUCAAAGAAUGCCCUGCACUGUAUAGUGAGUAAGUAGAUUACAGGAAUGAUUUGCAUUAAAUUGAUGCCAUCCAAAUUUA